rnacentral:snRNA from 1 species
AUUGCUUCUCGGUCUUUUGGCUAAGAUCAAGUGUAGUAUCUGUUCGUGUCAGAUAACACAGUCUCCACGCCAUGCUGCACCUCCC